rnacentral:tRNA from 1 species
AUAGCUCAGCUGGGAGAGCGCUACGCUGGCGGCGUAGAGGUCAGGGGUUCGAGCCCCCUUGGCUCCA